rnacentral:rRNA from 1 species
UACGAAGGGGGCUAGCGUUGCUCGGAAUCACUGGGCGUAAAGCGCACGUAGGCGGAUUGUUAAGUCAGGGGUGAAAUCCUGGAGCUCAACUCCAGAACUGCCUUUGAUACUGGCGAUCUCGAGUCCGGGAGAGGUGAGUGGAACUCCGAGUGUAGAGGUGAAAUUCGUAGAUAUUCGGAAGAACACCAGUGGCGAAGGCGGCUCACUGGCCCGGUACUGACGCUGAGGUGCGAAAAGCGUGGGGAGCAAACA